rnacentral:rRNA from 1 species
AGAGUUUGAUUCUGGCUCAGAUUGAACGCUGGCGGCGUGCUUAACACAUGCAAGUCGAACGUGAAAGUCCUUCGGGGCGAGUAAAGUGGCGCACGGGUGAGUAACGCGUGGAUAAUCUACCCUUAAGAUGGGGAUAACGGCUGGAAACGGUCGCUAAUACCGAAUACGCUCCCGAUUUUAUCAUUGGGGGGAAAGAUGGCCUCUGCUUGCAAGCUAUCGCUUAAGGAUGAGUCCGCGUCCCAUUAGCUAGUUGGCGGGGUAACGGCCCACCAAGGCAACGAUGGGUAGCCGGUCUGAGAGGAUGACCGGCCACACUGGAACUGGAACACGGUCCAGACUCCUACGGGAGGCAGCAGUGGGGAAUAUUGCGCAAUGGGCGAAAGCCUGACGCAGCGACGCCGCGUGAGGGAUGAAGGUUCUCGGAUCGUAAACCUCUGUCAGGGGGGAAGAAACCCCCUCGUGUGAAUAAUGCGAGGGCUUGACGGUACCCCCAAAGGAAGCACCGGCUAACUCCGUGCCAGCAGCCGCGGUAAUACGGAGGGUGCAAGCGUUAAUCGGAAUCACUGGGCGUAAAGCGCACGUAGGCGGCUUGGUAAGUCAGGGGUGAAAUCCCACAGCCCAACUGUGGAACUGCCUUUGAUACUGUCAGGCUUGAGUACCGGAGAGGGUGGCGGAAUUCCAGGUGUAGGAGUGAAAUCCGUAGAUAUCUGGAGGAACACCGGUGGCGAAGGCGGCCACCUGGACGGUAACUGACGCUGAGGUGCGAAAGCGUGGGUAGCAAACAGGAUUAGAUACCCUGGUAGUCCACGCUGUAAACGAUGAUUACUAGGUGUGGGGGGUCUGACCCCUUCCGUGCCGGAGUUAACACAAUAAGUAAUCCACCUGGGGAGUACGG